rnacentral:rRNA from 1 species
GCAAGCCGAGGGGUAUAUUAUUUUCGGAUAAUAGAGACCGGCGGACGGGUGCGUAACGCGUAUGCAAUCUACCUUUAUCACUGGAAUAGCUUUCGGAAACGGAAAUUAAUACCGGAUAACAUUACAACUGGCAUCGGUUGUAGUUAAAAGAUUUAUCGGAUAGAGAUGAGCAUGCGUCAGAUUAGUUAGUUGGUAGGGUAACGGCUUACCAAGGCGAUGAUCUGUAGGGGUUCUGAGAGGAUUAUC